AAACGACCUACCACUAAGCCACCGAGGGAUAACGAAAGUUUAUGUCAAAUUAAACACUAUAGCUAAUUGUCGUCACGCGCGUAUCUUAUGCGGUGAAAUAGUUUAUUAGGCGGUGAAUUGCGGUGAAGAAUAUAGGCCGUUCGCGGCAACUUAGAACGCCAUGAUGGCAGCACUUUGCUUGCGAUAGUAACUUCUAGUAUAUUGCUUAUACUGUAUGUUGUAUUUGAGCCAAAGUAUACGGUAUACCACACUCAAUUUGACUCUUUAAACUAUUUGGCAGCUUCUCUCAAACAGCCAAAAAUAGUACGCGAGUUGAAAUAAAACACCUCAAAUAAUAUCGAACGGAAUUAAGUGUUAGAAAUGAUUGGAUCUCUUCGAGCCAGGUUCAACAUACCAAUAUUUCCAACUACUUGCAAAGCGAUUUCUCACAUGAAGAUGUAAAAAUAAUAAAAACAGCUGGAUAGAAAUAAAAGGAAAAAAUAUUGAAAAUAUGAACUCGACGCGACUCGAACUCAAAGGUUUGUCGAGACAGUCCAAAUGACCUACCACUAAGCCACCGAGGGAGAACGAAAGUUUAUGUCAAAUUAAACACUAUAGCUAAUUGUCGUCACGCGCUUAUCUUGUGCGGUGAAAUAGUUUAUUAGGCGGUGAAUUGCGGUGAAGAAUAUAGGCAGUUCGCGGCAACUUAGAACGCCAUGAUGGCAGCACUUUGCUUGCGAUAGUAACUUCUAGUAUUUGCUUAUACUGUAUGUUGUAUUUGAGCCAAAGUAUACGGUAUACCACACUCAAUUUGACUCUUUAAACUAUUUGGCAGCUUCUCUCAAACAGCCAAAAAUAGUACGCGAGUUGAAAUAAAACACCUCAAAUAAUAUCGAAC
rnacentral:lncRNA from 1 species